GGCUCAGUGGCUUAUUUGGAAAAGCACUCGUCUAGCAUUCAAGAGUCCUGGGUUCGAAUCCCAUCCGAGCAU
rnacentral:tRNA from 1 species